GAUAAACGCUGGCGGCGCACAUAAGACAUGCAAGUUGAACGGACUUAAUCGAAAUAUUUAUCUUUUGAAGCGGUUAGUGGCGGACUGGUGAGUAACGCGUAAGGAACCUGCCUAUUAGAGGGGAAUAACAGUGAGAAAUCAUUGCUAAUACCGCAUAUGCCAUAGAUAUCACAUGAUAACAGUGGGAAAGGAGCAAUCCGCUAAUAGAUGGCCUUGCGUCUGAUUAGAUAGUUGGUGGGGUAACGGCCUACCAAGUCGACGAUCAGUAGCCGGACUGAGAGGUUGAACGGCCACAUUGGGACUGAGAUACGGCCAAGACUCCUACGGGAGGCAGCAGUCGGGAAUAUUGCGCAAUGGAGGAAACUCUGACGCAGUGACGCCGCGUAUAGGAAGAAGGUUUUCGGAUUGUAAACUAUUGUCGUUAGGGAAGAGAAAGGACAGUACCUAAGGAGGAAGCUCCGGCUAACUACGUG
rnacentral:rRNA from 1 species